rnacentral:rRNA from 1 species
GAUGAACGCUGGCGGCGUGCCUAAUACAUGCAAGUCGAGCGAACAGAUGAGGAGCUUGCUUCUCUGACGUUAGCGGCGGAAGGGUGAGUAACACGUGGAUAACCUACCUAUAAGACUGGGAUCACUUCGGGAAACCGGAGCUCAUAUCGGCUAAUAUAUUGAACCGCAUGGUUCAAUAGUGAAAGUCGGUUUUGCUGUCACUUAUAGAUGGAUCCGCGCCGCAUUAGCUAGUUGGUAAGGUAACGGCUUACCAAGGCAACGAUGCGUAGCCGACCUGAGAGGAUGAUCGGCCACACUGGAACUGAGACACGGUCCAGACUCCUACGGGAGGCAGCAGUAGGGAAUCUUCCGCAAUGGGCGAAAGCCUGACGGAGCAACGCCGCGUGAGUGAUGAAGGUCUUCGGAUCGUAAAACUCUGUUAUUAGGGAAGAACAAAUGUGUAAGUAACUAUGCACGUCUUGACGGUACCUAAACAGAAAGCCACGGCUAACUACGUG